UACGUAGGGUGCGAGCGUUAAUCGGAAUUACUGGGCGUAAAGCGUGCGCAGGCGGUUUUGUAAGCCAGAUGUGAAAUCCCCGGGCUUAACCUGGGAAUGGCAUUUGGGACUGCAAGGCUUGAGUGCGGCAGGAGGAGACUGGAAUUCCUGGUGUAGCAGUGAAAUGCGUAGAUAUCAGGAGGAACACCGAUGGCGAAGGCAGGUCUCUGGGCUGACACUGACGCUCAUGACACGAA
rnacentral:rRNA from 1 species